UGGUGGGCCACAGGUGUACGGCCCCUUGUUAAAGAAUAUUGUUUACAAUGUGUUAUUUGUCAACAUCACAAUGUGGGUAAGCAAGUACACAUACAAGAGCAUGGGAAGACUCCGUGUCCCAUGGGACCCUUUAGAAGUUUGCAAAUGGACUUUAUUGAAAUGCCAAGAUCUUUGCAUUAUAAAUAUGUCCUUAUUAUAGUGUGUACAUAUUCCCGCUGGAUAGAAGCCUACCCAUGCCAACGUGCAGAGGCAAGAACAGUAGCAAAGAAAAUGUAUUCCUAGAUAUGGUAUAUCUCUGCACAUCUUUUCAGAUCAAGGAACGCACUUUACUGCUAAUAUAGUACAGGAUCUUGCUAAAGUUUUAGGUAUUGUGUACCAUCUGCAUUGUCCAUAUCACCCUCAGAGUGCAGGAAAAGUAGAAAGAGCUAAUGGAGUCUUAAAAAUAAGAUUAACAAAAUAUGCGCAGAAACCCAUAUUCUCUGGCCAGAAGCUUUACCCUUAGCAUUAAUGUCGAUGCGAAACUCAGUUCAUGCAGCCAUAAAGGUUACACCUCACAAGCUCAUAAUGGGACGUCCUAUGCUAGCUGCUAAUUCUCUAGAAGUAUUGGUGCAUGAUCAUGCUGAUAGAUGACACAAUUAGCGUAUAUUGUAAGACUCUAAUGAAGUCCUUUAAGUCUCUCAAAUCACAGGUGCAAGCAGUGCGCACGGACACAGAGGACAACAAACCAAUUCACCAAAUCCAACCAGGAGAAUACGUAUUGGUCAAGAGUUUUUAAAAGAAAGAAACCAUAUAAAGCUUUUCCCAAUUCCAAGGAAAUCAACACGUUAGUCCUCCAACAGGCACAAUAAUCCUAGCUGACUAACCUACGUGGGAAAGCCGAGAAAGGCCAAGAGGCCACUCGUGAAACCAUGCAGCAAAAUAUUGGAAAAGCCGAAAGAAA